rnacentral:tRNA from 1 species
GCCUGGGUGGCUCAGUCGGUUGAGCGUCCGACUUCGGCUCAGGUCAUGAUCUCACGGUUCGUGGGUUCGAGCCCCACGUCGGGCU